AGGCACCUCAUUUUUCUUUCUUGUUCUUAUGUGGAGUUUAUGUUGUGCUGGCUGCCUGGUUAUUUCUUGUCAUUAAUGAUUAAUGUUCUCCUAGGAUAUUAGUGUUGUUCACUGCUGACGCUGUAAUGGAGUGGAACAAACACUAAGGACUGUUUACAGUUAUCCAUGGAAAAGCAGUCUGUCCUCCUGCUGUAAUGGUCUCUGUCACAGAACACAUCAUAGAAGUUGUCAAACAAGGUUUGGAUCCCAUGCUGAGAGGCUUAUUCAACUGUGAAACAAGGUCCUGUCAUCCCCAGCUAACCAUACGCAUCGUUAACAGAGUGAGCUGCUUGCUGACAAAUGAGUUCGGCUCGCACAGCAAGAGGACAGGCUGCUGAAAAUAAAGGAAGGAACAAGAACAAGAAA